rnacentral:rRNA from 1 species
UACGUAGGGUGCAAGCGUUAAUCGGAAUUACUGGGCGUAAAGCGUGCGCAGGCGGUUUUGUAAGUCUGUCGUGAAAUCCCCGGGCUCAACCUGGGAACUGCAUUUGUGACUGCACGGCUAGAGUGUGUCAGAGGGGGGGUAGAAUUCCACGUGUAGCAGUGAAAUGCGUAGAGAUGUGGAGGAAUACCGAUGGCGAAGGCAGCCCC